CUGUGAUAUCUGCUUCAUUUUUCACUUUUGCUUUUUUAAGCUCAUUGCGCCGCUAGUCGCAAGAGCCGCUAGUCUAAUAAAAUAAAACUUUUUCCACCGACUACUAGUAACACCCCACUGUACUAUUAUUAGCCGAAAUUUAAUUGUAGACAAACCAGUAUAGUAAACUAUGAAGUUAGGCAUAUUAACCGGCAGGAAACGGGCAAUAAAUCCAAGUCAGUGACCCCGUGACAUCAGUACCGACAAUUCCGUUAUGCAAAACAUGUUUUCUAAAAUAAAAAUGUUAUGUUCGAGUAUGAGUGUGCGUGACGUACGGUUGUCCCAAAAACCUGUCAGUGAAACUUUGUAUAGGCACUCCAAACAUGUAGCCGGCCGACCUAAAAAAUGUGACGGUUAAAAUUCAAAGACAAAACGCUCCCGAAACCCCGACCCGGCCUCGCAGCAAUGUGGCAAAAAUGCCGUUCAAUUUAUGCCCAAAAUUUUAGUCCCGACUGGUCCCUUUUUGUUGCCAUCUGCCCGAUCCCGAGUCCAGACAGCUCCGCCCUAAAACAGUUUAGAGGCUAUCCUUUUACUCGCUUGUCAAAUCUAAUAUCGCUAUCUCUGUCUUAAUUUUCGAACGGCCAGGACCUGUUGUGCGUCUCGUUUUUGCACGCACCCUUUGAUCGUUCUAUCCGUUCUGGCUGGUGAUUACUCGUGUAUUUCCGCUUCCUACACGAGUCCGCCAUGUUUGGCGGGAGCGGGCCUGUCAAGUCGACGUUAGUUUGGCACGUAUCAAAGAUCCAAGCAAGGUCAGAAACCAAAUUGUACACUCGAUCGAGCUUUUCAUCUUGGUAAUGAAAUCGUAUUAUAACUGUUAUUCAUUAUUUUCAGAUGGAAAGUGAGCAUAGCUGCAGAUAGGAGCUAGGAAAAUUGGUGAAAUAUGUCAUCUACAUCCAGACUGCCAGUUAGCCGGGAUAAUAUAAGGUGCAUCUUGCAGAGGAUUAUAUGGAUUUGAAGAUUUCUGAAGAAUUGGAAGAGAGUAGGAUAUUUCUUUUCAGGAUUAAUUUUAAGAUGAAGAAAGAAUUUUUGGUGCCCAUCGGCAUCAAUAUUAGUGCCCUACAUCUACCCUGUAGAUCCGAAUUUGUUUGAAGUGAGGCGACAAAUUCGGUUCUAGAGAGGUUUGUGUGGUGCAUGCACUGCAACGAUCAAGCCUGAAGGGAACUGAAGGUUCACUGGAACAACACAAGGAACACUGCUUCAAGAAUAGUGAAAUCAGGAAGAAACUACGAAAGACCGAUAGGAACUCGGGAAAGGCACAAAGACAAAUGGUUGUAUUAUAAAUUUAUAACGUUUUAUGUAUAAUUACCCAAAAAAUAUCCAUAUUAUUUUCAAAAUUAUUUAUUUUAAAAUUGUUAUAAAAAAAACAUGGCUGACUCAUGGAUGAAUCAAAAAACAUCGUUAAUCAAAAAAGUUUAAAUCCUUAAAAUUUUAUCAGUAUCAAAUUUUACAAAAAAAUUAUGAUGUCAUAAAAAUAGGUACAGACUUAAAUGUCAAGUUAUUAAAAACAAUCACAUGUCAAAAAUACAGAAACAAAUAUGUUUAAAAACAAAACAAUAAAUACCUGCUAAUCAAAACUCUAUUUAGCAAUUGAUUCAAAAACAUUAUAAACUAAACCUCUAUAAAACAUAUUUAUCGUAAAAUCAUAACAUUAACCAAAUCUAGCCAUGCCCUAAAUAGCGUUGUAUUUUGGGUCAAUGUUUCGCAGACGCCGCCUCGUGCCCUAUGAAUGUUACUACCUGAUACAUUAUACAACUCCGACGCCCAGUGAUAUCACUAAUUUGUAGAAUUAUGAAUCAUGACUCAUGGUGCCACGAACUAUCACGCGGUUUAAAAUUAAUGUUGACUUUGACGUGGAAGUCGAAAAUAGUAUAAUGGACCGAUUUUUAUCUUUUUAUUUUUUUUCGUCAGAUUUUGAUAAGUUUCUCAUUCUGGGUUGAAUAAUUAGGAAAAUCCGAAUUUGGGACAAAACAAUGAAUCUAAAUUUCCGUUUGGUUACCAAAAUACCAUACAUUUUCAUAACUCAGAGGAAGAUUUUGUAGGAUAUACAUACCUAUAGUAAAAUUGCGCAAAAUAUAAUAUUCUUGUACGAAAUAGGGUAGGUACCUACUGACGAUAUGUUGAAAUUUUUCGCCUUACAACAAAGGAGUAAGACAAAAAUUUAAACAGAUCUUUUACAUCGACUGUACUCUACAUAUCCAUCAAAUUUAAUAUAAUUCUGACGAAUAAAACUACAAUUAAAUAAAAAUCGGCCCGAAUAAAUAGUGCUUUUUGUAUGAGUGCCUACCUAAACCUUAAAUUAAAUAUGUUCCGAUAACUUUGUGCUCGAAAUAUUACUACUUAGGUAAUUAGCACGAUAUCCUGGGGCCUAUUUCCCAAACGGUAUUAGUCUAAUAUUAUUAGUCUGUUGCCAUGGUAACCCAUACGACUUGACAGUUCGUGGACGAAUAAUAUUAGUCUAAUACCGUUCGAGAAAUGGGCCCCUGGUGCAAUAAUGACAUGAUACCUUAAUAAACACUGAAUCAAAAUUUAUACUAUAUUAUAUAAAAACAAGAAAUUACCUAGAUAUGCAAUUUGAUCUGAUAUACAUCUUAUUUUUUGUGAUUUAUUUAAAAUGAGUACUAGAAAGUAUUAACAAUAACAAUAUACAUUAAGAAUUAAAAAAACUAAUCGUUGUUUGUAGGUAGUUUAUUUCUAAAUUUUUACAUUUAUCUGCAAAGGUACUACAAAUUCUUAAAAUUCAUAAAUAAUGCGAGGGGAAAAAGUAACUUAAUUUCACUAUUUUUGUGGUAAAAGAACCUGUAUUUAAAAACCGAUUAAUCAUUCUAAUAUUGUGAAUAAUUUUACUAGUUACGAGUACUUAUAAACUCGCAUGUAGGAUAAUACCAUCACGGGUCUGUGGUAAUAACCAUGACUACCAUAUUUCAAUUCAUGUACCUAAAUUUGUAAUUAAUUAUUUAUAAUGCACUAAAUAUUAAUCCAUGUGUAAACAGGCCCUUAUUUUGUUCACCCUCACGUGAAAUGUUGCCGAUCAGACUUAAGACUACUAAUUCUCGCCCUAGGGCCCAUUUCUCGAACGGUAUUAGUCUAAUAUAUUAGUGUGUUGCCAUGGUAACUCAUACGACUUGACAGUUUGUGGACUAAUAUUAUUAUUAGUCUAAUAUCGAUUGAGAAAUGGGCCCCUGUAUUAGUCUUAUAUUAUUACUGUGUUGCCAUGGUAAACCCAUACUACUUGACAGUUCGUGUAAUAUUAUUAGUCCACAAAUUGUCAAAUCGUAUGGAUUUCCAUGACAACACACUAAUAAUAUUAGACUAAUUCUGUUCGUGGUUUGCGAAUUUGUAUGGCGAGAACCGGGAAUUUUCGGUCCUGAAUUUGUAUAGAAAACCAGUACCGGGAGCACCCCUUACGUGUCUUUACGUGACGUAACAUGAAUCCUUAGACGAGAGUCGACGAGCCGUGCCGAGUCACAUAUCGCUAGUGUGUCGAUACUUUCUGUCGACGCUCUGAUGUUAUGUGGCUGUUGAUCGUUUCCAGCGAUCCGGCGCAGCUAGUGCGGUUCAACAUAGGUGUAUUUAUGUAACUUGUCCGGGUCUAUCAUGCAAGACUGUCUUUAUGUGAGCACUAAGUGUUAAUAGGGAGUAUUUAUGCAAUGUUCUGCCGCCAGAGAGCAGCACUAUCACAUAUUCCAAACCAUGGAGUAACUUAAACAUACUAUGCCUUAAACAGUUUUUUGUCAUUUGCAGAUGCAUGUCGUUAUCUGCCUCUAUAUUGCUCGGAUAUGCAAGUGGCUGAUAACAAAACUUCGAUUUCCGUGUUUCGCGAUGUGCCCCCAGUGUGUGCUAGAGGCGCCCCCUACGCAGAGUUUUGCGUAAUAUCUUUUAUUUUAUGGCGUUUUUACAUUGUCCGAUCAAACAUUGGAUGUCGAAUACGACCACAAAGAAGUAAAAAUUUUAAAAGCGCCUUUUUAUAUUUAUUUACUCAUUGUUUAUUGUUCAAAAGAGACAGCAUUAAACUAAAAAAGGACUUGAUGCUAUAGCGCACUCUCUAGCAGCUUUUCUCCAAGGAUCACCCGACAUCCAUUAUCGGAUCGGACAAUUUGAAAACGCUCCUAUGAGAGUCGACGAGUCGUGCCGAGUCACAAUUGGAUAGUGUGUCGAAACCUCUCGCUGCACUGAUGAAUUGUGGCUGCUGAUCAUUUCAACGAUUCGGCGCAGUUGGUGCAACUUUCAUGAAACUGGGCUUAUUUCUUUCAGAGGACUAACCGCCAACAUCGAUAAACGUAUCUGCCUCUGUCGCUCGAAUAAGCAAGAGCGAUAGAGAGAUACGAUUUUCCAUUUUUCGACGAUGGCGAUGGGACCUUAGUAGGUAUUAUUUGUGACAUUUCAUAUAAAAUGUUGUUUCAUGGCGCAUUUGUUUUGUAAAGCUUCGUUGGUUAAGCCAUUUUGCCAAAAUACCUUUUUACCGAAAUGAUCUAAUUUUCUUAUUGUUAUACUUGUUAACAAAAUGUUAUUCAUUAUUAGUUAUAGCUGAGAAAUGGUGUGAGAGUAUUAUAUAAUAUAUAACACUUUAAUCCUAUUGUUGAAGAAAUCUAUGACUAGGCUGCUUAUUGAAUGACAUACGGCCCGAUUCGAAGAAUGAUUAAGACACGUUUAAGAUCGUGGAAAGAUCUUUAAAAGAUCGAUAACUAAACGGCAUCGGCAUGUCAAAAUUGACGUUUAUAUCGAUUCCGCUGUGAUCCCAAUUAGAUCUAUCUACGAUAUUUCUAACGUCAAAGUGACAUUGAUUUCCCGAAUCGAGCUGCUUCUGUCAAUUAUACGACAUACAAACGAUACCUAAAUGAGAACUUAUCUAAACCAGAACUUAUCAUUAUCGUAUUUCAUUCUUCGAAUCGGGCCGAUAGUCGUAACAUGACUUUCAUGUAUUAUGUACAAAUAAUUUUUUUUAAAGGGCUCUAGUUUAUUCAAAAUAAGAUGAAGUUGUAACUAAUAGGUACAGUCAGCAUCAACAGUAGCGGUUAAAACAACGCGCCAAAAGUAUAUCUGCCCCCUCUAAUACUUUUCCAAAUGGAGAUAGAACUCUACUGUUCUCUUUCUACAGUAUAAUAUUUUAUUCUACAGUGUAAUAGUUGGCUGCUUAGUCAAAUCAGUUUCUUUUUUCGAACUGUCAAAUGAUCAACCACUAUGGAAUCUCUAUGAAGUGUUUUGCCAUCUUUGCAUCUUUCUCUUGUUAUGAUUAUAACUACCGUGAAUUUAUACCGUGCUUAUUUUUUUAAAGGUAAUACGAAACACUAUCUUUGUAUUGAAUAAUAAAUACCUACUUAUUGAUAAUAUUCAUGCACAUAUUUUAUACUACGUCUGUGGCAAACAAUCAUACAGCCCGCCUGAUGGUAAGCAGUCUCCGUAGCCUAUGUACGCCUGCAACUCCAGAGGAGUUACAUGCGCGUUGCCGACCCUAAACCCGCCCCCCCUCGUUGAGCUCUGGCAACCUUACUCACCGGCAGGAACACAACACUAUGUAUACAACACUAUAUAUGUUUUAAUUCAUGGAAAUCAUACCAAAAAGAGAGGUGUUGCCUUACAUCAAAUGAGGUAGUUAAAGAAGAGGAAGAAGUGAAGUAAGGACUAAUGUAACAUACCCACCUAAUUUGACCAGCGCCUUUCUGGUUUAGCCCAUUGGUUGACUGAUAGAGAAUGCCUUAAGACAUUAAGUCCGCCAUUUGUACUACCAUAUAUUAUGCAAUAAAAAUAAUUAUAGAUCUUUGAUGAUUUAAAUUAUAUGUAUCUGUAGUUACCUAUUGCCACUUUGUUAAGAAUAUAGUAUUUCAUAAAUAUAAGCCAAUUAUUUUCUUUCCCUGUGUUUUUCUUAAUACAGAUUUUUGAUUCAAUAAAAGUUUUAGUAUUGAA